UCAAUGACCAAGAGAAGACAUGAGGAAGGAUCAAGGAUCACUCCUGGGGUUCUGGCCUGGCACCAGCUAGUGAGGUCGGCCUUCCUUGGUGGUUUUGCUGUGACUACUGUAAUGUUUAAUCUCCAUUGUCAAAUUGACUGGAUUCCGAAUCAUCUAGGAGACAUAGCUCUAGGUGAGUUAAAUCGCACCUAGAUUAACUGAUUUAACUGACGAAGGAAGGUUCAUCCUGAACAUAGGUGACACCAGCCCAUGGGCUGGGUGCCCUGACAGCUAAUAAACAGAAAAAACGUCCAAAGUGAACUGAGCAUCCAGCCUACUCUCUGAUUCCUGACUGUGGACGUAAUGUAUCCAACUUAAAUGUAUCCUUAAUGCUUGAAACCUCACACUGCCAUGCCCAUGAAGUGGUUCACUGGGAAGGUUGAGAGACUUAAUGCUGAGACUCUUGCAUGCGCCUCUUCAAAGGUAAUAGAAGAGAAGAGGCUCUGGAAAUUUUCUCUUCUAAAAUCCAUACUCUUUCUCUAAAAGAGGUCCCAACCCUACUCCAGCUGGUAGUAGCUGCAGAUACAAAGCCCUAAUCCACUCCUAGCUCAUCCAAUACUGGCCCCUGAUCAUCUCCCCCAGACCACUGCCAUUGUGUCCGCCCUAGGCUCAACACCUUUGUCAUCAUCCCAGUGGCUUUUAUCAGCUUGACAGUCUAACCUAGGAGUUGCCCUUUGCCUCUUGUCUUAGGUUUUUAUUGCCGUGAAGAGACACCAUGACCGUGGCACCUCUUAAAAGAAAACAUUUAAUUGGGGUGGCUGGCUUACAGUUUCAGAGGUUCAGUCCAUUAUCAUCAUCACAGGGAGCCUGGCAGCAUGCAUGCAGAUGUGGUGCUGGAGUAGUAGCUGAGAGUCCUAUAUCUUGCAGGCAAUAGGAAGUCAACUGAGACACUGGGUGGUAUCCUGAGCAUAGGAAACCCGAAAGCCUACCCCCACAGUGACGCACUUCCUCUAACAAGGCCAUAUCCACUUCAAAAAAGCCACACCUCCUAAUAGUGCCACUCCCUAUGAGCUUAUAGGGACCAGUUACAUUUAAACCACCACACCUCUUUUGUCUAAAAUUAAUUUCUCAGCAGGUGCUUAUAGCUUCAGCAAGAUAACUUUGACUGUCAAUCCUUUGAGAC
rnacentral:lncRNA from 1 species